GCCAGGCCUUGGUUUCUUCUCACUUGCAACUGUUCCUUUCUCUCUUCUCCUUGAGGUUAUUUUGGACUCUUUCUUCCUCCCUUUUGUGUCCUCUUUGACUUAGAAGCAAUUGGUUUUCAGAAACAUCGUGGUGAGGGCUUUCUUACCAGUGUUCCUCUGCAUGGAAAUGUGCUGGAAGAUCUUUAGGAAGCCCUUUAGCCCUGUCAAAAGAAGCUUGUGGAAGUGGAGCAUAACAGAGAAGGAGCAAGCUGAGAAGAAAUAGCAGAAUAUCUUCAAGUCAGUGACUGGUGGGGCAGAAGACACAAAGAGGAAUACAAGCCAAGGCAGGCGGCUGUGCCAUACAGCUCCUUGCUCCCUACUAACUGAGGGUGCUCUCAGUAAAUAUGGUCGCUGCCUCUCACCCUUUGAAAGGGGACUGCAGUGAGACUCUGCUUUAUUCCUUAUUCCUGGCAGCUCUGGGGAAGUGGGAGAUUAGGAGGACAGAGGGGGGGAAGAUGACCUGAAAAUGCGAAAAACAAAACCAAACAAAAACCCAAACAGAACCCACAACCUUUUCUCUAGUUGUUGAGUAAAAGUCUUGUAUAUUAUGUGGAAA